rnacentral:tRNA from 1 species
GGGCGAUUAGCUCAGUUGGUUAGAGCGCCACAUUCACAUUGUGGAAGUCAGAGGUCCGAGUCCUCUAUCGCCCA